rnacentral:piRNA from 1 species
UACACAGAAUGAUGCUGCUAAUGAGGGUC